rnacentral:rRNA from 1 species
UGGCUCAGAUUGAACGCUAGCGGGAUGCCUUACACAUGCAAGUCGAACGGCAGCACGGACUUCGGUCUGGUGGCGAGUGGCGAACGGGUGAGUAAUGUAUCGGAACGUGCCCAGUAGCGGGGGAUAACUACGCGAAAGCGUAGCUAAUACCGCAUACGCCCUACGGGGGAAAGCAGGGGAUCGCAAGACCUUGCACUAUUGGAGCGGCCGAUAUCGGAUUAGCUAGUUGGUGGGGUAACGGCUCACCAAGGCGACGAUCCGUAGCUGGUUUGAGAGGACGACCAGCCACACUGGGACUGAGACACGGCCCAGACUCCUACGGGAGGCAGCAGUGGGGAAUUUUGGACAAUGGGGGAAACCCUGAUCCAGCCAUCCCGCGUGUGCGAUGAAGGCCUUCGGGUUGUAAAGCACUUUUGGCAGGAAAGAAACGUCGUGGGUUAAUACCCCGCGAAACUGACGG